rfam:Ipomoea nil DNA, scaffold: scaffold0268, cultivar: Tokyo-kokei standard.
AGCCAUGUGAUGAACACAGAGCGAACUAUUCUUUCGCCUUUUACUAAAGAAUACCGUGUGUUCGUUACAAUCAAUGGCAUACUCCUAUUUUUGAAGGGUGUUUAACAUUAAACACCC